GUGCUCACUUUGGCAGCACGUACACUAAAAUUGGAAGGAUACAGAGAUUAGCAUGGCCCCUGCACAAGGAUGACAUGCAAAUUCGAGAAGCGUUCCUUAGUUUU
ensembl:snRNA U6 U6 spliceosomal RNA